rnacentral:tRNA from 1 species
GGUAGGGUAGCUCGUUGGCAAGAGCACCACCCGUCCGAAGGAGGUGGCCCGUGUGGUUCGAAUCCCACCCCUACCG